UUGAACGUUGAAAUGAGUAGUUGGGGAGUUAUCUUCAGAGAACUAUCGGGUGGUGUGAGAUAGUGAUAAUGAAUUGACGAAUAUGGUUUCAAUUUUAGUUCUCAUUACUAAACAUUUGUGAGGUAAUGACGGUUAUCACCGUUACAUGAUCAGGGUAUUGAAGUUGAGUACCUGGUAAGGAGUAAUCUGUGAAGGUUAUUCAAAUUAAGGUGGUAACGCGGAAAAGCACUUUCGUCCUUUGU
rnacentral:ncRNA from 1 species